UCAAUCUUGCUCCCAUCCGUGAAGAUUC
rnacentral:sRNA from 1 species